rnacentral:ncRNA from 1 species
GGUUGCUGAAUUAGAGAUUGGCACCCGUAUUUUAUUGUUAUUAAAUUUGGAGUAUAAAAUGUCUCUAACUGUUGAACAAAAAGCAAAUGUGAUUGCUGAAUUUGGUCGUGAU